rnacentral:lncRNA from 1 species
AGCCAUAAAGCAGACUGUUGUGAGGAAUAAACAAGUGAUAAGAAGACACCUGGCCCGUCUUCAGGCUGUAGAUUCUGAAAUAUGAAUGAAGGGAUGUGAAAGUGAUGGGCUCUAUCCUUACACCCAGCCCCAGUGGGAGCCUGGGCAGGGAGUGGGAGGAUGAGAAACGUCUUCAUUUUACACAACAAAGUGCUUCUCCAAGCUUCUGUACCUACUGUAUCUGUCAACAUUUCUGGAGGAUAGGGCUUUGUGAUUUGCAUUUUAUUUUAUUUUUGUAUUGAAGUAUAGUUGAUUUACAAUGUUAUGUUAAUUUCUGCUGUGAUUCAAUUAUGCAUAUAUGGUUAUAUAUAUACGCUCUUAAAAUAUUCUUUUCCAUUAUGGUUUAUCAAAGGACAUUAAAUACAGUUCUCUGUGCUAUACAGUAAGACCUUGUUGAUUAACCCAUUCAUGUAUAAUAGCUUAAACUUCUAACCCCAACCUCUCAGUCCGUCCCUCCCACAACUCCCUCCCCCUAGGCAACCACAAGUUUUUUUUUGCUACAUCAAUGAGUCUCUUUCUGAUUCACAGAUAGGUUCUUUUCUGUCAUUUCUUAGAUUCUACAGAUAAGUGAUAUCAUAUAUUUGUCUUUCUCUUGCUGACUCGCUUAAUAUGAGCCCUCUAGUUGUAUCCAUGUUACUGUGAAUGGCAUUCUUUCUUUUUUAUGGCUGAGUAGUAUUCCCUUGUAUAUAUAUUAUACAUCUUUAUGUGAUCUGAAUUUUUUUUUUGUCUUUUUAGGCCCACACUCGAGGCAUAUGGAGGUUCCCAGCCUAGGGGUCCAAUCAGAGCUGUAGCUGCCAGCCUACACCAUAGCCACAGCAACAUGGGAUCCAAGCUGCAUCUGCAACCUACACCACAGUUCACAGCAAUGCCAGAUCCAUAACCCACUGACUGGGGCCAGAGAUCAAAACCGAGUUCUCAUGGAUGCUAGUUGGGUUCGUUAAUCACUGAGCCACGACGUAAACUCCUAUGAUCUGAAUUUUAAAUCAACCAGAUGUGGAGUUCCCCUUGUGGCUCAGCAGAAACAAACCCGACUAGUACCCAUGAGGAUUCAGGUUCAAUCCCUGGCCCUAUCAAUGGGUUCAGGAUCCAGCAUUGCUGAGAGCUGUGGUAUAGGUUGUAGACGUGGCUUGGAUCUGGUGUUGCUGUGGCUGUGGCAUAGGCUGGCAGUUGAAGCUCUAAUUCAACCCCUAACCUGGGAACUUCCAUAUGC